GAUGAACGCUGGCGGCGUGCCUAAUACAUGCAAGUCGAGCGAACAGACGAGGAGCUUGCUCCUCUGACGUUAGCGGCGGACGGGUGAGUAACACGUGGAUAACCUACCUAUAAGACUGGGAUAACUUCGGGAAACCGGAGCUAAUACCGGAUAAUAUAUUGAACCGCAUGGUUCAAUAGUGAAAGACGGUUUUGCUGUCACUUAUAGAUGGAUCCGCGCCGCAUUAGCUAGUUGGUAAGGUAACGGCUUACCAAGGCAACGAUGCGUAGCCGACCUGAGAGGGUGAUCGGCCACACUGGAACUGAGACACGGUCCAGACUCCUACGAGAGGCAGCAGUAGGGAAUCUUCCGCAAUGGGCGAAAGCUUGACGGAGCAACGCCGCGUGAGUGAUGAAGGUCUUCGGAUCGUAAAACUCUGUUAUUAGGGAAGAACAAAUGUGUAAGUAACUAUGCACGUCUUGACGGUACCUAAUCAGAAAGCCACGGCUAACUACGUG
rnacentral:rRNA from 1 species